GGGGGGUAGAAGGAAUGGAUGCUCGGAGGUAACAAGAAAUAAUAACAAAAUAAAACUCACAAGACUUUUCACUUCUUCUUUUUUUAUACUUCGAUUUUUUUUUCACUUCAAAUACAAUUGAAUAAUACCAAAAUAUCUUCAAAAUUCAUGAAAUCCUCUUCUCUUUUUUUUUUCAAAUUUUUUUUCAAUUUUUUUCUCUCUCUUUUUUUU
rnacentral:lncRNA from 1 species